UUUCCUCUCCCUGGGAAACCACAGGUUUGUAAGGGGACCUAUGCAUCUAUAAUGGAGAAUUCUCUCAUUAAACUACAAUUCCCAGGAUUCCUAAGGGAGAAUUAACGCCCAAGAGGACUACCUGGGGCUGUUCUACUACUGGGCUGAAGUUUUAACAGUCGUGUCCCAGAUUUCAGAAGUUAUCUUGUAUUCUAGAACUCAGGUGAAACCACUAAUUACAGAAACUGGCUGCCACUCCUUAAACUAGCCACUUCUUAAUCUUUCACUUCUUUGCCAUGUUGGGACAUGGGAUGGGGAACACAUGUUCCUCUAGAAGUUGUGAAACUCCAACUCCCAUCAACCCCAACUCAGCAUAGUCAAUAGUCAAGGAUAAUGGGAGUCCCAGCUUGCAGUUUCUCCAGCCCUGUGUCUGAUAGAACUAUUGGCUUUUGUAGGGAGCUGAAAUGUAGAUGCCUGCUCUUCACAAGGAAGGAGGAGCAUAGCUCAGCAACAGAGUCCCACAGUGAUUUGAAUCCAGAUCUAAACUUCAGCCCUCUUGUCUUAAGCCUUGGUGCACCCACUGAGCUUUUGCAGGGAUUGAUCCCUUGCAAGAUCCUUCUCAUAUUAGUGGGGACUGGGUGGCAAGGUUUUCUAGGGAGGCAGGCUGCAUUCUAUACCUGCAUGUGAUGCCAAAGUCCCCAUGAGUAAGCAGAAAGCAGCAGUGAUGGGAUGAGAAUGGGUGGAGAAACCCAUUUGCCAUCCACAACAUGGUUCCUAAAAAAGAAAUAUAAUCAUCAUCAAAACAAAAGAAAACAAAAAAACAGACACAGCACUUCCAAGAUGCAAGAGGUGAGGAAAGACCAAAGGCUAUUAAUGGAUAUCAGUUUCCCAAGGAGCGACAGCAGCUCGCUGGAAGGGAGGAAGAAAGUUUAAUAUAAAAGCAGCAUUUAGAGAGAGAGAGAGAGAGAGAGAGAGAGAGAGAGAGAGAACUGCUAAAAUUGCAGCAAAGAUUACAAGGCCAUACUCGAAGGUUUACACAGUAGGGUGCAUACCCAUUGAAAAGCAAGGCCAGUGCAUGUCAUAUCAAAAGGUACCAUGAGACUGCCACACUACAGUGCUGGCAUGACCACCAGCAUGGCUUUGAUUGGUGAAAAGAAAAGAAACUGUUGAAAUAUUCUAAACAAACCAACUUGCUGGAAAGAAACAGAGAUCUAAACCAAGAGUUGGAGACUGGGGAAUGGAUAGCUUACCUCUGGUUCUUUCACUGUUGUGCGAAAAAUGAGAAAUAAAGAGGGUUUUUGUUGCCCCACCCCCACCCCCCAGAAGGCAUUGGCAUGGUUUCUGGACGGGUGGGUGAGGCACAGGAUGGAGACUGAGGAGGAAAAAAGGAGCAGAGGAACCACUUAGGAGAUACCUUCAAGAGACAUGUUCUCACCUUUUGCUUCUGAGCAAAGUGAUAGACUCUCCUUUCCUACAACAAAUCAGACUCCACUACAGAAAUCUUUAUCUCUACUUGUCCCGGGGUUUCAAUCUUUUCCAUAAACAUAUUUUUCACUCUUUUAAUGUCCAUCCAAUGGGGCAUGUCAAGCUUCAGAGCAAGGAUUCUUUUUUCUCAAGACAUAUUCUCCAAGGUAUUUGUUUUUUCAGAGGCUUUCUACAAUAAGUCCACUCUAUGAGUAGUGGAGGAACAGGAACUCCUCUGACAACUUGUCCACCCCUUAUGCUAUCCACUACAAAUUUAAACCACUUUCAAGCUCAUUUCACCGUUAUGGCUCCUAACAGACAGGGCAUAUCUACAGGUACAAACUUGUACGGUAUUGGUUUUAUACUGUCAUGGCUUCUCCCAAGGAAUCCUGGGAAUUAUAGUUUGGUGAGGGUGCUAAGAAUUCUGUUAGAGAUCCCUUCCCUGUUCCUUCACACAGAACUGCAGUUCCCGGGGAAGAAGGAGCAACUGUUAAAAGCAGUUUGUCUCUAGGGCAGAUGUGCCUGGAAUCAGUUUUAUGACAGCUUUCUUACACAAACAAAUCUUCUCAACGCCCUGGGGAGGGGGCAAGCUUAACACUAAACAUGUUCACACUGGUUUAAAUGUGAAGUGUAGGUGGGAGAUGAUACUUGGAAUCAUGGAGCUGUGAGUGAAGAUGUUGUCAACAAUGCAUCAGCAUCUGCUGUUGAGCAGUGUCCAUUUAUUCCAAUGUGGAUUGCAGUACACAAGUGCUUAGUGGCCUGACUCAGUCUCAUCAGGUGUGUUAGAGCCUUAGAGGUGAUAAUAUGAAUCUGACCUGCCAGCUCAUUUUUUGUGUCAGAUGAUUUUUGUGUCUGGGGCAUGAAGUCAUGCUUAGCAGGAAAAACCUCUGGCUGUGUUGAUGGACCGGUUUUAUGCAAACAACUGCACUUUUUUUUUGGUGCUGUCUUCCUCCAAACUAGAUUUGCCUUGAUCCUCACUAUAGUCAACAGAUGACUUCAUAUUUAGCCCAGGAGUGGUGAUAUAAGAAGCUGUCCUUGUCCAAAGGUUUCAUGUUGUUGGGUCUGGAACUCAAUCUUUUGCUCUAUACAGUGCCCAUCCACCACCACCCCAGCAACCUCUGAUGUGCAACAGUGAAUGACACACACCAAACACCACAAUAGACACCAAUCACCAUCAAGAUGUGUGGCUAGGCAGAGAAAUGGGGCUGGAUCCCCAGCUGGUAUUGCUCUACCUUGCUUCAGUUCCUUUGACUGAAACACAUACCCAACUCCAUGCAAGCCCCCGCCCCUGCUGCCUUCAACCUCGCCAGCUGGGGAUCUGACUCCAGUCCAUUAAAAACCAAGAGCCACUGACAGAGAAGGUGAAAGAGGCGAGCAAACGAAGGAGAAACGGGGUGCAGGUGGCCAAAGAAAGACGGGCAAAGCGCAGGAAUUGUAUGGCUUUAUAGAGGUUGUAAAUCCGGCGUGACUGAAACCGGACAGAGAAAAAACUGAAAUAAAUAAUAUUGCAACAGUGAUUGCAGGAACAAGGA